rnacentral:rRNA from 1 species
GACGAACCGUGCGAACGUUGUUCGGAUUCAUUGGGCUUAAAGGGCGCGUAGGCGGGCAGGCAAGUCGAAGGUGAAAUCCCACGGCUCAACCGUGGAAGUGCCCCCGAUACUGCCUGUCUCGAGGGAGAUAGGGGCGUGCGGAACUUCCGGUGGAGCGGUGAAAUGCGUAGAUAUCGGAAGGAACACCGGUGGCGAAAGCGGCGCGCUGGAUCUCUUCUGACGCUGAUGCGCGAAAGCCAGGGGAGCAAACGGG